GAUGAACGCUGGCGGCGUGCCUAAUACAUGCAAGUCGAGCGAAUGGAUUAAGAGCUUGCUCUUAUGAAGUUAGCGGCGGACGGGUGAGUAACACGUGGGUAACCUGCCCAUAAGACUGGGAGAACUCCGGGAAACCGGGGCUAAUACCGGACAACAUUUUGAACCGCAUGGUUCGAAAUUGAAAGGCGGCUUCGGCUGUCACUUAUGGAUGGACCCGCGUCGCAUUAGCUAGUUGGUGAGGUAACGGCUCACCAAGGCAACGAUGCGUAGCCGACCUGAGAGGGUGAUCGGCCAAACUGGGACGUAGACAUGGCCCACCCUCCUACGAGAGGCAGCAGUAGGAAAUCUUCCGCAAUGGACGAAAUUCUGACGGAGCAACGCCGCGUGAGUGAUGAAGGCUUUCGGGUCGUAAAACUCUGUUGUUAGGGAAGAGCAAGUGCUAGUUGAAUAAGCUGGCACCUUGACGGUACCUAACCAGAAAGCCACGGCUAACUACGUGCCAGCCGCCGCAGUAA
rnacentral:rRNA from 1 species